GGGGGCCCGCAAGCGGUGGAGCAUGUGGUUUAAUUCGAUGCAACGCGAAGAACCUUACCUACUUUUGACAUCCAGAGAACUGAGCAGAGAUGUUCGGGUGCCUUCGGGAACUCUGAGACAGGUGCUGCAUGGCUGUCGUCAGCUCGUGUUGUGAAAUGUUGGGUUAAGUCCCGCAACGAGCGCAACCCUUAUCCUUUGUUGCCAGCGAUUCGGUCGGGAACUCAAAGGAGACUGCCGGUGAUAAACCGGAGGAAGGUGGGGAUGACGUCAAGUCAUCAUGGCCCUUACGAGUAGGGCUACACACGUGCUACAAUGGCGCAUACAAAGAGAAGCGACCUCGCGAGAGCAAGCGGACCUCAUAAAGUGCGUCGUAGUCCGGAUUGGAGUCUGCAACUCGACUCCAUGAAGUCGGAAUCGCUAGUAAUCGUGAAUCAGAAUGUCACGGUGAAUACGUUCCCGGGCCUUGUACACACC
rnacentral:rRNA from 1 species